rnacentral:rRNA from 1 species
UCAGUAGGCGGUGUGGCAAGUUGGGAGUGAAAUCUAUGGGCUCAACCCAUAGGCUGCUUCCAAAACUGCUGUGCUUGAGUGUGGGAGAGGCGCGUGGAAUUGCAGGUGUAGCGGUGAAAUGCGUAGAUAUCUGCAGGAACACCCGUGGCGAAAGCGGCGCGCUGGACCACAACUGACGCUGAAUGACGAAAGCUAGGGGAGCAAACA